rnacentral:rRNA from 1 species
UGGGGAAUAUUGGACAAUGGGCGCAAGCCUGAUCCAGCCAUGCCGCGUGAGUGAUGAAGGCCUUAGGGUUGUAAAGCUCUUUCGCCGGUGAAGAUAAUGACGGUAACCGGAGAAGAAGCCCCGGCUAACUUCGUGCCAGCAGCCGCGGUAAUACGAAGGGGGCUAGCGUUGCUCGGAAUCACUGGGCGUAAAGCGCACGUAGGCGGAUCGUUAAGUCAGGGGUGAAAUCCUGGAGCUCAACUCCAGAACUGCCCUUGAUACUGGCGAUCUCGAGUUCGAGAGAGGUUGGUGGAACUCCGAGUGUAGAGGUGAAAUUCGUAGAUAUUCGGAAGAACACCAGUGGCGAAGGCGGCCAACUGGCUCGAUACUGACGCUGAGGUGCGAAAGCGUGGGGAGCAAAACAGGAUUAGAUACCCUGGUAGUCCACGCCGUAAAACGAUGGAUGCUAGCCGUUGGGGGGUUUACCUCUCAGUGGCGCAGCUAACGCCUUAAGCAUCCCGCCUGGGGAGUACGGUCGCAAGAUUAAAAACUUAAAUGAAUUGACGGGGUCAUAGCUG